GACGAACGCUGGCGGCGUGCUUAACACAUGCAAGUCGAACGGAAAGGCCCUUCGGGGUACUCGAGUGGCGAACGGGUGAGUAACACGUGGGUGAUCUGCCCUGCACUUUGGGAUAAGCCUGGGAAACUGGGUCUAAUACCGAAUAGGACCACGCGCUUCAUGGUGUGUGGUGGAAAGCUUUUGCGGUGUGGGAUGGGCCCGCGGCCUAUCAGCUUGUUGGUGGGGUAAUGGCCUACCAAGGCGACGACGGGUAGUCGGCCUGAGAGGGUGACCGGCCACACUGGGACUGAGAUACGGCCCAGACUCCUACGGGAGGCAGCAGUGGGGAAUAUUGCACAAUGGGCGCAAGCCUGAUGCAGCGACGCCGCGUGAGGGAUGACGGCCUUCGGGUUGUAAACCUCUUUCAAUAGGGACGAAGCGCAAGUGACGGUACCUAUAGAAGAAGCACCGGCCAACUACGUG
rnacentral:rRNA from 1 species